rnacentral:pre_miRNA from 1 species
GUGUGUGGUACCCUUCUUCAGAGAGUUUCGGUCAUGUAUGGUUAAGUAUGACUGAAACCUCUGAGGGAGAGUAACGCAUGA